CGGAGGUUGCAGUGAGCCAAGAUUGUGCCACUGCACUCCAGCCUGGGUGACAGAGUGAGACUCUGUCUAAAAAAAAAAAAAUCCAGGCUGCUGAGUGGCAGAUGUCACAGAACCGUGCCACAGCCCUGGGAAGAUGGAAGACUCCAGUGGCAUACGCAGGUCUCGCCUCUGAGUGUUUAGUGAAAUUCUGGAUUAAUGUAAAAGGUAAUCAGGAGUACUUCCCUUAUUCUGACUGAGCACAUACUCUCAGUCAGUAAAAGUCAAUGCCCAUGCUCCGCUCCAGCACCUCAGAAGAGAAACUGAUUUCCAGUCAGCAAGUUGACACGUAACACGGUUGCCCCCAAGGUGGGGCAAGGUUCGCCUGUGUGCUCUCAGUGAGCUUCCAGAUUGGGCAGGGGAAUGACUGGAGGAGGUAAGAAGCAAACUGGCCUCCACUUAGAAGCACGCAGUGUGGACACGGUCCACUGCCUGGAGUUUGUUCAGCAAAGUCCUCCCACUGGCAGGGUGGCCAGGAACUCCCUUCUUCCAGGUGGUGGGGAAGCUCGCCAUCUGUGCAGCCUCCUCUGGAGGAGACUGAGCUGGGGCGCAGAUCAUAAAUGGAGUUUCUGAGCCAGAAAGAUGGCAAAUGGGAUGAAUUCAUUUGCUGAGGCUGAGGCCAACCAGUUCUUGCAUCCAGGAUCCCUGGCUUGUCCCUUUAGAACACAUGAUGCGGUCAGGUGGAGCCAGCAUGAGCUUGAAGUCAGGAGACGGGCUGCAUGCGAGUCUGGCACCUGGUACAAUGAGCGUACAUCUCAGACUCCCAGUCAGUAUUUGAGGAAUGAACAAGUGCACGUUGUGAACUCUGACGGGUUAUGGAAAGGUGAGCAGCAGCGCGUAGAGGCUUUGACCGUGUAAAGGAUUUGAGUGUGCAGAAGAUUUGACUGUGAGAAGGAGCUGACUCCAAGGGCUGAGACUGAUUCUUCAGCAUCACUUCUUCCACUAAAGGAAGAUACUGCAGUUUGCAACUUUGCAGAUACCAGCAGAGGAAGAAAAACAUGAGAGACUGUUGAUAACCUAAAGUGGAGACUUAAACUUCAGCCAGACAAAGGCGGAAUCUUAAUAUGGAGGGGUCUGGCUCUGCAGGGAGGUCACCUGGGCUGGCUGGAUUUCAAUCCAGUUACACAGCAAAGGUUACGACCCAAGCUUUGCCGAUGCUGAGCCUUCUAUUCUCAGGGAUUCCAAAGCAUUUGAUAAACUCCUUGUUCCAUUGUU